rnacentral:lncRNA from 1 species
UUCUAUGUGCGAGUGCAUAUGCUUCCUUGUUUUGUGUUUGUUCCACUUUUUGCCCUUUUGCUAGCUAGCUACAGAAUGCUAUUAGGCUUGUGGCCUGAUGUGUUAAAAACCAAUUGAUGCUAUAUUUGCCACAUAAGAGUCACACACAAAAAGGUAAAGAGUCCCACACAAAAAGAAAAGGGCAACCUAGAUCUGUCAUACUAUAGUUGGUACUACUAUUUUCUGAAGGAAGCACACUUGUCUCAAUGAUUUGUGUAUGUAGAAAAAUGAACUUGCUUCAUUGAAUCUUCUACUAGCCCGUUAACUUGUGUACUUAUUUUGGUGAACAACACUCUGUAGGCGGAAGGGCCAAAAUCUCCCGAAGAAAUGCUUACAGUACUGCAAAGAGUGAUCGAGGAAAGUGCCCCUGUGCUUGUCACAGCCAGGGUUGAGGCAGAAGAAAGAAGAAACAAUAUACGUUUGAGGGAGGAGCAAGAUGCUGCUUAUCGUGCUGCACUAGAAGCUGAUCAAGUAAGUGCUUUUAGGUUCCAAAUAUGCCUUUCCUCUCUUCAAGUUACUUUGUGAAGGGGAAAAAGCUUUACAUUGAUCAACUGUUUGCCCUUAACUAGGCUAGAGAGUGCCAGAGGAUAGAAGAGCAAGAGAGGCUGGAGAGGGAAGCUGCUGAAGCUGAAAGGAAAAGAAAGGAGGAAGAAGAGGCCCGGGAAAGAGCAGCACAUGAAGCUGCUGAAAGAGAAGCUGCAUUAGUUAAAAUACGCCAGGAGAAACUAUUGUCAUUGGGCCCUGAACCUGAGAAGGGUCCUGAUGUUACCCAGGUAAUCAUGUUUCUCUUGGUUUUCAUUGUACCAAAAAAAUAGUCAUUAUUACAGAUUUUGGUGAAGAAGGGGAUCCUUGCAGCAUUAGUAAAGCUGUAUCUAUUUGACCUAUAGGUCAUGGGUUUGAGCCGUGGAAGCAGCCACUAAUGUUUGCAUUAGGGUAGGUUGUCUAUAUUACACCCCUUGGGGUGCGACCCUUUCCCGUACCUUGCUUAAGCAGGAUGCUUUGUGCACCGGGCUGCCUUUUUUUCACAAAUUUUGGUGAAAGACGUGGUUUUCCGGUAAGAUUGAAACAUAACUGCUCAAGCCUGAUCUUAUUUCUUGAUGCUCCGCUGUUGCUUACCAAUAUCUCGUUUCAUUCUAUUGGAUGUUCUAGCUCCAAAGAACAGAUUCAUGGAGCUAGAGUGUUUUCUAUGGAGUCUCGUUGAUUUCAGGUGUUGAGUGAUUUGAUUUGCAAAGAUUUUGAAUAGAAAAGAUUAUAGUGCUUAAGGUUGGAAAGUAUGUAGAACUGGCUUAAGGUUGAGCAGAAAGUUCAUGUUAAAUGCAUAUAACUCGAGGGAGGGAGGGGGGACAAAGUGCAAAACUGAAACUGAAUCCCUCAGUGAACAGAAAGGUGUUCAUACUGUUGUCUUAACUAAUUUGUUGUUUAAUUUGGAUCAUUCAGGUUUUGGUACGGUUUCCUACUGGAGAACGCAAGGAGAGGAGAUUUCAUUGUACUACAACAUUACAAUCCUUGUAUGACUAUGUCAAUUCUCUAGGAUGCCUAGCGGUUGACAACUACAGUCUUGUAUCCAACUUCCCUCGCACUGCAUAUGGCGCAGAGAAGCUCAGUUUGUCCCUGAAAGAUGCUGGAUUACAUCCUCAGGCCAGCCUUUUUAUCGAGUUGAGCUCAAGAGAACUUUAGAAGUCAUGCACUAGAAAAUUUUCCUGCUAUAAUGUUUGUAACUCAUCAGAGUAGUUAGCAAUAGAAUUCAAUAGAAAAAUUGUUCCCUAUACUGUUCUAUUGUUUCUGUGACAACAAAUAAAUAAGCGAAUGGGAUUAUACUUGUGGUAGCACAUUCAGUACACAAUUGUAAAGAAACUUGUUUUUCCUGUAUUUUUGGGUCAAGAAGGCAGAGCCAACAGUAAUGUCUGCUUGUGAAUUUCUUCAUGCCUUUACUAACUUGGGUUCUUUGGUGUUUCAACAUUAUAGAAGCAUUAAACCAAUUGCCUAAUCUGUCUUAUAUACUAUGCAAAGAUGACAAAAAAAGGAGGAGAGAUAAAUAGUUAUAACGUAAUGUAAAGACCACGUGGGCAAAAAAGCAAGCAAAAGAAUGGCUUCGCCCGGACUCGAACCGGAGACCUUCAGUGUGUUAGACUGACGUGAUAACCAACUACACCACGAAACCCUUGUUAAACUCAAAUUUGACGACUUCUACUAAUAUCCUUUUGUUAGUAAUAUUAUGAGUUGUGACUUCCAAAAUCAGAUGAGUUUUUUAAUGAUGUGGCAGAAUAUCAUUUUUCACUUUGUUUAUCUGAUUGAACAAGUUCAACUUGAACUUAUGCCAAAUGUGAAAGACAAUCUCGAAGUAAUGCAACUAUGAAUCUCAUGGAGAGUUCGAUCCUGACUCAGGAUUGAAUGUUGGUGGCAUGAUUAACACAUGCAAGUCGGAUGGAAAAUGGUGUUUCUAGUGGCGGACGAGUGAGAAAUGCAUAAGAACCUGCCGUUGGGAGGAGAACAACAACUGAAAAUGACUGCUAAGGGGCUCGCGUCUGAUUACCAAGCCGAUGAUCAGUAGCUGGUUCGAGAGGAUGAUUACUGAGUAACCUUAGUAGCGGGGGACGGAUCUACUAAGUAACCUAUGAGUUCACGUGAUCCUAAUAAACCACGUUAACGUCGUUCCUUCACACUUCCUCAUUGUACAUCAAGAAGCAACCAGACAGCAUCAAGCUUAACAGCCAAAUAUAUUGUUUGGAGAAAUCAUUGUUUGAUUACUCAACUUGAAUAAGUGAAGCAAAAUAACAAAUUCAUACCAAACUUGAACUGCUACAUCUAUCAGAGUAUAGGUUCAACAAUUCCAGAUACAUUAUCAAACAUCUUUAUCGUGUCAUAUGGUCAAUUCAAUGGACUUCUCAUUACUCCAGCUAUGUCAUCUUCCAAGUUGUGUCUUCCCCAUUUACAAUACAUCAUAUUACUUGAUAGCUUCUCAUGGAAGCCCACUAAAAAAUGGAGCAAAAACAAGAUUGCAGAUGAAUAAUUCAGUGCUGACUUGUCAGAUGAAUGUGUUAUCCAAGACGAAGAAUCCAGUUACUCCAUAGCAGAAACCAAGUAAAGCAAAUAUCAUAAUCUAUCGGAAACAGCCUCUCUACCCAACAAAGGUAGGGCUAAGGUAUGUUUAUUGUUGUUGUUGUGGUAUUUACAAAUUAUGAUUUUGGAGAUAGAUUAUUCACAAGAUUGUUCAACAUAUCCAAUCCAAUCGAACAACAAACAUAAGAAAUUUAUACAGUAAUAAGCAAUGAAUCGACAUUUUGAAUUGAUGAGAAUUUGAUCUAACAGCAUAGUACGUACAUAGGAGCAUCCACACACUUUCAUAGAAUUCAGAGUGGACUACUACCAGUUUUCCUUGACAAUCUUUGAUUUCUCAAGUACGAACUUUCCUUCCUUGUACUUCUGUGCCUCUUCAUAUGCUCGUUCAUAUUUCCAGCCAAGCACCUCACGACAGUCGCAGCAAUGGACAUCAGCAACUGUAUGGAGACCAGUCAUGAGAUGCCUAUCCUCUUUUGGUCCCACGACUAUGUUCAUUGCGUGAGAGAACAAAAAUGCUCGACCAUUUCUUCCCUAAUGUCAAUUAGGCAAGAAUAUAUUACUGGUAAUAUCUUAAGUAAACAAAAGGAUAGAUCUUGCCCAGAAAUAGAUAAAAAAAAAACAGAAAAUCUUAUAUAGAAAAGACCAAGAUGUAUUCCUCAUUGAGCUACAUCUUUCCAACUUGUUUCCUUUUCGGUAUGUAACUGAAAUACAAACAUAUAUAUAUGCUCAUUUCAAUAGCAGAGGAGCCAAUUUUCUUGAAUUCAUGGUGAGAUCAUUGCCUUUUGCUAUAAGAGAAGAAUAGAAAUUGGUGCAACAUUAUCAAAGGCGUGCUAAACGUGCACUUGAGCUCUGAAGUGAAGCACAAAAAUCUUGAGGGCUUCACCUCAGUCAGCAUAAACCUGAAGAGCUAAGUGCCAACACUAAACCAUUGAUAUGUUACUUUAUCCUUUUUUUUUCAGUUUCUUUGUCCAUAUAUGUGUUAUAUUCAUGCUUAUAUUCGUUAUCUUGGAAUACACAUACAUAAUGGAAUCUAUUUGCACCUUUUUUUCGUUAAAGCCCAAUGGUCCUUGGAUCUUUUUGUGUGUUUCGCCAUUGAUAACACACUGUUAUCUUUGAUAUUGUGAACAUUUGUGGCACUGACUAACUCAAAAACUACUGACAACCUUUUUGUAUCAGGAACCUCUAAGCAAAAACAGCAUACAAUGAUCAUACGUUUAAUCAAGACAUAAUACAUAAACAAACAUACACUGGCCUCAGAUGGCAAGUAAAUUUGAGUAUACACAUCUAGACACCUCAAUUCAUCUUCACUAUGUAAAUUGAACACUCCAACUUACACAAUGAUCAUCUAGACACCUCCAAAUCAUGUGACACAUCAGUGUUGGAUGUCCACGAGACACGAUAGGGACGAUUUGGAGUAUUUAGUUGUCAAUUGAGACCAAGUUGAUGUGUUUAGAUGUACACUCUCAAAGUUGGAGUGCUUACUUGCUAGUCGUAAACUAUCCACGUUCAUACAAUUCAAAGAAAAUGAAAAGAAUCCCACAUAUUCUAACCUGAAAAGCCUUAGAAAUAAUGUCAUCAUGAAGUGCAACUUCAUUCUUACAAUUGCAGCAACUGUACAAUCUAGGUCCAAUCACCUCAGCCAUUUGAUGAUCAAGAUUCUAUACACAGUCAGUUUUCUCAAAAACUGUGAUACUCUGAGAUCAUCACAAACAAAAUAUAAUUCCAACACAACAAAGUUAACUACAAUAACAGUGUACAGAGCAAAAAGACUAUACCUUUAUCUUCAAUAGCCACAAUUUGUUAUCUACACACCCUUUUUCUCUUUGACUAAAUAUCUGCUACUAUAACCAUCAAAUCAAGUUUGUCAAAAACCAAUUAAGUCAUAAUCAAUUAAUUUGGAAAACUAAAGCAUCAAAGGUCCAAUUUUUUUAACUCAUACCCAAGACUAAGCAUCAAAGACCCAAUUUUUAUCUCAGAGAAAAAAAGAAGAAAAAGAGCACAACCCAGUUGAGAUAAAGAAAAACCAUUUGAAAAAUACCAAGAUACUAAUAGAAUUCAAAGGAAAGUAAAAUCAUCUGGUGUAGUUAAAGAAUCAAGCUUGAACCUGUUUAUAGUGUCAUCAUGGCAACAAAUGGGAGAUUGAUCAGUUGCUUUUCCCUAUUUCAAGGAGAAAAGAAGAGGGAGUGGGUGCGGGGUAGGGUAAGGAGGUGUGUCGGAGUUUGGUGAGUUAUGACAAAGAUGAAUGAGGAGCAUCAAGAUACACGACAACUCUAUACUCCUUUCUUCUGAUAAUGAUUGUGAUGAAAUUUUUGCCAAUUGUUUUUUGAUGAUAGGGGUAAAGAUUUCUUUGAUCAAAUAUAUAAUUAAAAAUAAUUUAAUUUUUAUUUUCUUUUCCUAAAAUAAUUUAUAAUUAUAUGAUUUUAGACUAUAAAUUUUAAAAAUAUCAUAUCAAAUUAAAUGAUGACACGUAAAAUGGACGAAGGGGACAUUAAGUUGGAAUGCAGUGUGUAUGUGUGCGUUUUGCGAGGUUCUGAAAUACCAAUUGAUUAUUAGAGCUUUCAAUCUAUACAUGGAUUUUUUGAAAAAUUAUCAAUAAAUUUUGCUUGUCCUCAGAUUCGAAGGGUCUAUUUCAAAAGAUUCAAAACUUUUCUAAGAUUGACUUCAUUUUUAUUUAUAACUCGUGAAUUUAUCCACGCCUCGCACGAUUUCAUUAUGUUGAGAAUGAAUCCUUACCAUCUGUAAUUUUUGAUCAAAGGACAGAGGAACAUGACAUAUAUGUUCAAGAGAAUGAGUAAAGGGAGCAUUUUGUGUUUGUUUGGUAAAGAUUGAGGUUUGGGCCUAAUUAGACUUAGUUGAGUAUUGAGAGGAACUUGAAGUGCAGCAAGUUUGGCCCAAAUAUUCUAUUCAGCCCAAAUUCAGCUUAUACCAAUUUCCAUUCUAGCAGUUUCUAAUUUUUGUAUAUAUCACAGUAGAGUAAAUGACAUAAAUGGUCCUUAAACUAUUAUAGUAGGUCUAAAAUAGUCCCUUAACUAUACAAUUAAUGAAUAUAGUCCUUUAACUAUCUACAAUCUUGUCAAGUUUGGUCUAUAUCUACUUUUUAUAAAUAAAAAAACUUAGUUAUUCUAAUUUAAUCUCUAUCUCCUGACUUUUUUUGUCCACUUCUUUCCUCUAUUAUCUCACUAUUUCUUCACUUUAUUUUGUCCAAUUCUUUUCUUCAAUGUCUUACUGUAAUUGUGUGUUGGUCAUUAUUUUAUUUGAGUUGAAUCAAAUUGCAGCUCUAAAACACCAAAAAAUCAACAUGAAACUGUACAUAACACAACACUAGAUAGCAACAUCAAACCAUUAAAAUAUCAAUACCAAACUACUACAUCAGACUACGAAAAAAUUGCACCAAAAGCACUCGAGCACCAAAAAUUCGCUGCAAACUGCACAAAAACUAGCAUAGAAACUGCGCCAAACUACACAAAAACUGCACCAAAAAACAUCACCAAGCUACCCCAAACUGCAUAAAAACAACACCAAACUUGACAAGUUUUUCUUUACUAUAGCAGUGUCAAUGAAGAAAAGAAGAGGGAAAAAGAAAAUCAAGAGAGAGUAUCUGAAUUACGAAGUUUGUUAACGGUGUCUAUAAAAAGUAGAUACAGAUCAAACAUGACAAGAUUGUAGAUAGUUAAGGGACUAUUUUCGUUAAGUGUAUAGUUUUGGAACUAUUUUAGACCUACUGUGAUGGUUUAGGGACCAUUUAUGUCAUUUUCUCUAUCACAGUACAUAGUUUGUUAUGCAAUUUGAAACUUAUCCAUUACUAGGAUAGACAACCGUACAAUAAUAUUCUUUUAUGUAUUUGUCUUGUAGCCAAAUAAUCUUGUAUAAAUAUAUUAAAUUGGAAUGAGAAAGGCAUCAGAAAAUUUCCACAUUUCAAGAUUUCCUUCUUUCAUAAUUCUACAUGGUAUCAGAGCAAAGGUAGAGCUCACAACCAAAUCCUUUCAUCCUUCUUCACUUUCACUUCCCUUCAAUCCAAAUGGUUGAAACAGAGGAUAACACCACUGCUACAGUUGCAGCAACCUCUAGGAAUGGAGGCUCUGUGGUGAUAGAUCAAACCAACCCUUUUUUUCUUCAUGCUUCAGAUUCACCAGGGAUGACUCUUGUCCACACCACCUUAGAUGGAAAUGGCUAUGGGGCAUGGAGAAGAUCCAUGCUCAUAGCUCUCUCAGCCAAAAAUAAGUUGGGAUACAUUGAAGGUUCUUCUCUUGUCCCUGCUCCAGAAUCAACUGAUUUCAAGCUAUGGAGUAGGUGUAAUGACAUAGUCACUUCUUGGCUAUUGAACUCCCUCUCAAAAGAGAUAGCUGGGAGUGUGAUCUAUUCUAAAUCUGCCAAGGAACUCUGGAAAGACCUUGAGGAUAGGUUUGGUCAGCUUAAUGGAGCAAUGCUCUAUCACCUGCAAAAACAACUUGCUGAUUUAGUGCAAGGUUCAUCAGAUAUUGCAGGUUAUUACACCAAAAUGAAGAAGACGUGGGAUGAACUUGACCCUUUGUACUCAAAAGUGACCUGUUCUUGCAACUGCAGCUGUGGAGGAAAAUAAAAGAUGAACAAGUCAUUGCAGGAUGAGAGGUUAGUUCACUUCCUUAUGGGACUGACUGAUGUGUAUGCCCUAAGAAGAAGCAACAUUCUGAUGAUGACACCUCUGCCCAGUGUCAACCUUGCUUAUUAUCUGUUGAUGCAAGAUGAGAGGCAAAGAGAAAGCUCCAUGAACACUAAAUUUCCUGGUAACUCUAUGUCUUUCUUGGCAGCACAACACUACCCUAUGGGGCAGAUGUCUCCUAACUCUGAUUGUAAGGGUAAGAAAAACAAUCUGAUGUGCUCAAACUGUAAAAAACCAGGACACACUAUAGAUAAAUACUACAGAAUCAUAAGUUUCCAUCUGAUUCCAAGUUUACCAAGUCCAGUAAAACUCAAGGUCUUGUCAAAUCUAAUGCAGUUGUCACAGCUUCUGGACAAACAAGCAAUGAGGGAUAUCAGGGAGGAAGAAGCUCUAUUUCUCAAGAUCAAAUGAUGCAUCUCAUGCAAUUUUUCCAGAAUAUGCAAGGUGUUGGUCAGGGUGGUUCAACAUCAAAUGUCAAUGCAAAUCUUGUUCAAUGUGCUGGUAACAUAUUUAAUGAUCUAGUAGCUUAUUUCACUUAUGCCAACUCUUUCUCUUGGAUAAUUGAUUCAGGAGCCUCUGAACAUAUGUCAUUUCAUCAUAAAUUUUUCAUUAAACUCAUUGCGUUAAGUUCACCAUUAUAUAUUAAUUUACCUAAUUCAUUCAGGGUCAAAGUUACACAUAUAGGGACUGUGACACUCUUUCUAGAUUUAAUCCUACAAAAUGUCCUAUUUGUCCAUCUUUCAGGAUAAAUCUGAUUUCUGUUCACAAGUUUUGCAGGCAAUUUUUAUGCAGUCUAAACUUUUUUUAUCACCAUUGUUUUCUGCAGGACCCUUCAGUGAAGACCCCUCUGGUUCUUGGUGAAGCUAAGGAUGGAGUCUAUAUUUUGAAUUCUUCUAUCAACCAUUCCAAGAGUUUCUUUAAGUCUAGUUUCUCUAGUAUUUUGCCUAAACAAUGUAUUUUAAUUUUUAGUGUUUUUUCGAUUCCUGUAAGUUCCCAAUCUAGUGUAAACUUAUGGCAUGUUAGGUUGAGACAUAUGCCUUUUACAUUUAUGAAAAAGUUCAAUUUCAUUUCUCCUUCAAAUUUUGUUAAUUGGGCUUGUGAAAUUUGUCCAUUGGCAAGGCAAACCAAGUUACCUUUUCCUGUGAGUUCUAUUAAAGCAAAAUGUAUCUUUGACUUGAUUCAUAUUGAUACAUGAGGUCCUUACAAAUCUCCAACCUACAAUGGUUAUAGAUAUUUCCUUACUAUUGUAGAUGAUUUAAGUAGGGGGACCUGGACUUAUCUUUUAAGUGCUAAAAGUAAUGCAUUCCCAAUGCUGAAAUAUUUCAUGGCUAUGAUUGAUAGACAAUUUGGAGUUAAGGUCAAAUGCAUUAGAUCUGACAAUGCUUUAGAACUAGGUGGGGGGACAACUAUCUCUGAAUUUUUUGCUUCUGAAGGAAUAAUUCAUCAAACUUCAUGCAUUGCCACCCCUCAACAGAAUGGUAUUGUUGAAAGGAAACACAAACACCUUCUGGAAACAUCUAGAGCCCUUCUACACCAAUUUAAACUCCCUAUAUGUUAUUGGGGUGAGUGUCUUCUAACUGCCGCAUUUCUAAUUAACAGAUUUCCUUCUUCUGUUUUGGAUGGAAAAACUCCUUAUGAACUCAUAUUUGGUAAAGUUCCUAGAUAUGACUUCUUUAAGUGUUUUGGUUGUUUAUGUUUUGCCUCGACUCUUUCUCAUAAUAGGGUGGAGCUUGAACCAAGAGCAGUACUUUAUGUCUUUCUAGGGUAUCCACUCGGAAAGAAAGGAUACAAGCUCAUAGAGUUGAAAUCAAGAAGAAUCUAUGUCUUAAGGGAUGUUCAUUUUCAUGAACAAACAUAUCCUUUCUCUUCCAGUGCACAUAUUCCUUCUAUUCCUCAUUCUUUUCCCUCAUCUAUGCAAGAUGAGGUCACUGAUGAUCAUAUCAUCAUUCAACAACCUAUUUCCCUUGGUCCUUUCAAUCAUAUGCCUCCUAGUCCUAUUCAACAUUCUCUUGGUGAAGCCUUAGUUUCUCAACAGCCUGAUAUCUUACCUCACAAUUAUGUUGUUGACUUGCCUGAUCCUAUAGACACAUCUCUUGCUCCUGCUUCCAGAAGAUCAGAGAGGGUCCAUAAGACUUCUACAUAUCUAGAUGAUUAUAUUUGCAACUCUGUUUAUCUAACUGAUGUGAACUCUACUUGUUUUGCCUCUAUUUUAAACUCUCCUACUUAUCUUUUUACUAGUUUAUUUAAUUCUAAUCAAAGACUGCUCAAUUCUAUCUCUUUUAUCACUGAGCCUACAUGUUUUGAACAAACUAUUUUACACCCUGGUUGGGAGAAGGCUAUUGAAACUGAAGUUGAGGCACUUCAAUCUAAUCAGACAUGGGAUUUGGUGGAUUUACCAGUUGGUAAGAGAGCUUUGCCUUGCAAAUGGUUUUUAAAGUCAAGCAAAGAUCAGAUGGGACCAUUCAAAGGCUCAAGGCAAGACUCGUAGUAAGAGGAGAUAUACAAAGAGCAAGCAUUGAUUUUAAUGAACCUAUUCACCCAUUGUAAAAAUGACAACAAUCAGGUGCAUUUUGGCUAUUGCAGUUAAAAAGGGAUGGAGACUCUCUCAACUGGAUGUCAACAAUGCUUUCUUACAUGGGGACUUGCAAGAAGAGGUCUAGAUGAAGGUACUUCCUGGACUGAAGACACCUUAAAAUGGACAGGUUUGCAAACUAAAAAAAUUACUGUAUGGCUUGAGGCAAGCCUCUAGAUAGUGGGUAUGCAUGGCUUGCAGCAGCCUUGCAUUUCAAAGGAUAUUCAUCAUCUUUAAAUGACUAUCCUUGUUUUUCAAGCAUUCAGGAGACUCUAUUUCUGUUUUGGGGGGGGGGGGGGUCUAUGUCAAUGAUAUAAUUCUAACAGGCAAUGAUAAAGCAGAAUUGACAAAGCUUAAAGAUUUCCUGCAUGGUGAAUUUCAAAUCAAGGAUUUAGGGGACUUACAUUUUUAAUUUUCUUGGUCUUGAAAUUGUGUAUGAAGCUCAUGGUCUCAUGAACAGCCAGAGAAAGUUCACUCUUGAGCUCCUUUCCAAGUUCAAUUGUGACCAUUUGAUGCCCGUUUCUUCUCCUCUAGAUCCAUCAACAAAACUUUCUGCAGAUGCAGGUGAUUUACUAGUUGAUCCUACAUCAUAUCGAAGGCUAAUUGGGAAGCUAAAUUACCUUACUCAUACAAGACCCGACCUGAGUUUUGCUGUCCAAUAAUUAUCACAGUAUAUGCAAAGCCCCAAGAUUCCUCAUUUUAAUGCUGCUUUAAGGGUAUGCGGUACUUGCGAUUGCAUCCUGGACAGGGAAUUCUCAUGAAGCCAGAAUAUUCUUUCUCUUUACUGGCGUUUUGCGAAGCUGAUUGGGCAUCCUGCGUGGACUCCCGACGAUCUAUUAGUGGGUACUUCAUUAGCCUUGGAGGAUCUCCUAUUUCAUGGAAAUCAAAGAAGCAUAUUUCUGUCUCACUCUCCUCUGCUGAGGCUGAAUACCUGUCCAUCGUCAAGUGGUGGCUGAAUUGACUUGGCUAAACCGUCUUCUCUCAAACCUUUCAGCACCUUCUUCUUUGCCUAUACCGAUCCAUUCAGAUAGUCAAGCUGCCUUACACAUUGCACAUAACUCGGUGUUUCAUGAGCGAACAAAGUGUUAACGACCCGAUUUUGAAAACUAGGAUUUCGGAAUCAAUUUCGCAACUUUGGCAAUUUUGUUAAGUUUUGGAAAAAUGAGUUAUUUGGAAGUUGCCACUUAAUUUUUUAGGAAAAAUUAAGAAAACAUUUAAAAAGAGAUUUUUGAAAUAAAACAUUUUAAAUAAAACCAGAGUCGGGUAAGGGUUCAAAUAAUUCUCUAAGGAAGGGUUUAGGCAUCUUAGAGAAUCCGCUAACACACGGUUGACCGACGGAUUGAAAAGUUUGGCUAAUUUUAUUUUUAAAAAAAAAGGUUACUUAUAAAAAUCUUGUUUGAAACUUAAAUAAAAAUCUUUUGAAACUUGUAGACUCUCAAAAAUAAAUCUAACUUGAAACUUUAUCCAUAGUCAAGUUUUGAAUCAUACGAUUAAUUCUAACUCACCAACAUGGAUCAAGGGACCUUAUUUAACAACUAUGAAAGGAUAUAGAAAAUCCUUAAGUUAUUCAUACAAAGUCUUAAGUUAUUUUAAAAGAGAACUAAUUUAGUUUAAGAAAAACUUAACAACUCUAUCCUAGUCAAAAUUUGAACUAAAUAGUUAAUUCAAACUCAUAAACAUAGAUUCAAAGCUAAUUAUUAACUAUGAAAGAAUAUGGAUAAUUCUCAAGUUAAUCUAAGAGCUUAAGUUGCCCAACUUGAAAGAGUUUUGAAAAUUUAAAUACUUAAAAAAAAUAACUAACGAAAUAGAAGAGUUACUUAAAAACUUUCAAGGAUUCAUCUAAGUUAGAUAAAAUAAAUGUUAGAAGUUAGCGAUCAUCAACAUAUAUUCACAAAUAGAGUAGAUAACUAAAUAAAAUAAAGAACUGGAUAAAAAGGGCACUUUGGCCCCUUUCUGGUUCUGCCGCCACAACUGCACUCAAAUUGAGACUUUUCAAGUCCAAUUUUUCAGAUCUCCAGCCCUUUGGAAUACUAUCGCUGCUGCUGAUUUUUAUUAUACGGGACUUUAAGUCCAAAACUUCAAUUUUUUAGCCCUUUGGGGGCUGCUGCUACUGCUGCAAAUUGCUGCUGCCACUGAUUUGAGUAUUAACCCAUUAAUAUUAGCUUCCCUUUCACAACUCCGACGGAGGUUGACUCAAGAGGGAAAAAUGCAAAAGAGAGGAGUCCAUUGGUCUCAUUCGGAGAGAGUUCAUGCGCAAGAAAAGAAAGAAAAAGGGAGAUUAACAUUCUAAUCUAACAUACGAAAAUACUAAAGGAAAGUACUUCAAGAGCUCAUAAUAAUUAAACCAACAUAGAAAUAAAUAAAAUAAAAGACAAACAUAGAAAUUGAAAUUUAACAAUUUGACGGAAGGAAAUCAUGCAACAUUUAUUAGCAAUGGACAGAAUCUGAUACAAGAUGACACAAAAACAAAAUAAAACAAUGACACUAUAUGUAUAGCUUGAGCAAAAUAAUCAAAUUAAUUUAAAGAUAAGAAAUAUGCCAAACCCUGACCAAUACAAGAGAAAGCUAACAGAGAGGGCAAUUAAUUUCCAAUCAUAACAUAUUUUUUCCACGUUCAAACUAAGAAAAGACAUAAACAUAACUUUUAGUCACGGAUUUAAGGAAAAAAUAAAAAAUAAUAAAAAAUCAGCAAGUAGACACGGAAUGGGACCAUUUAACAAUUAGCUGUAAAUUUUUUUAAAAAAUCACAGCAGCAAACAGAGAAACAAAAGAUUAAGUCAAAAAUUUAGUGCACACAAGAGACCUUUGGCCAGGUAAAUACGCUCCUGGAAACAAUAAAACUGUUGGAAGGAAAAAGUAAUAUGAAUUCUCAGACAUAAGAACAAAUGUAAAUCAUUCCUAGUUCUUAAGAAAACUACAGGUAGCUAUUACGACAGGUUAUGAACGAAAGCAUACAGGUAAUCGAGAACUCAUAUUCCAACUUCAUAAACGGGCGACUAGAUGCAGGAAAAAGGAACCAAGAAUUCAAUGGUAAUAAUCAAAUUUCACACAUAAUAGAACAUACCUUAGAAAAUUAUACACUUAAAUCAAAUGACUAUAUGACCCAGCUAUAUCUAUUUUGUUUGGAAGUAACAAACAGGUCCAUACUUGAGAGAAAGAAAGGAAAAGAGCUUCAAAUUAAGCUAGAAUAACUUUUAAUCACAUGAACGACAGUCAACUGCACCAAAACUGAGAUUCGAACAAACAUGCUACGAUAAUAACGAAAAGCUAGUCGGAGUAACAGUAAUUUGUUUGUUUCAAACUAUACAAGAAUUUAGCCGAAAACACAUCUUAGGAGCAGCGAAGCUUGACGUAACAUUUUAGUCCAAACAAACUCGAAGUGGAAGAAUAUACAACUUAUAUCUUUAAGAAGGCAACGAAGAGAAAUCGACAACUAUAUUAACAUGGAUUACAAAGUCGAAUAAGAAUAAUAAUAACUAAAGCACAUAUAUAGAUAUAUGAAUGCGACUAAGUAAAGAAUCACAUUCACAUCUCUAAAUUAACAGCCAUCAACAGAGCAACAAACUUAAUACAUUCAUUCAAAAUUGACUUAACUAAGUUAACAAGAUCAUGCAAACUUUUACUGUCAUAAACAUCACACUAAAUAGAUUGGAUCUAAAAGAUAAUUAACAAUACUAAAACAAACAACAAUUCCACAAUGCAACAGAAAGAAAAGACUAAAGAAAGCGCAAGAAUAUUACCUGGUUCUGGGCAGCGAACCGAACAACGAGUUUGACAGAGACGAUUCCCACCUCCUCAACUCGAACAACCACAAGAUUUUUAAACUAUUGAGUUGAGAAUUCCCAAACUUUUUUAGGGGUACUCUCAGGUCUCAAAAUGCCCCCCCUUGAACAGUUAUAGGGAGAGGGUAUUUAUAGUUACUAAAAUCUCACGAAAUUUGGAAAGAUUUUCGAUGUGGGAUUUUGAGAAUUUUCAAAAUCCCUUAACAGAUAAGGAUUGCCAACUAGUUAGUGUACGAAUUCGUACCAUUCUGAACGGAAUUGAAAAAGGAAAAUCGAAAAUUAGAAGGGUAUUACCGUUGAGGAAAGCAAUGUUGGAAGCUUGAGGCGUCUUCGAGCUAGUGCUAUGCACGCGGAGAGUACGAAUUGAAGGAGAAAAGAGGAAAAUUGAGGCGGUGAAUCUGAGGAUUUAAAGUUGGGUUCGUUUGGUUGCUUUCGCUGAGGAAGAAUAAGAAGAAAGAGGUGGGAUAGGGGGCGCGUAGGGGAGUUCUGUGUGUUCUUUCUAGGAAACAAAAAGAGUGUGUGUGCGCGUGAGGUAAAGGGGAUUAGGAAAAUAGUGGAAUAAAGGGUGUGGGCUGGUUUAAAGCUUUUUGGGGCCAAAAAAUUGGAUUAAAAAGCUGAGGAAAAAUAAGUGGGUUAAGGAACUGGUCCUCUUACCAUAUCUUAAAUAAAUUGAAAAGCAAAAGUAAAUUACGUAUUUAAUUAAAGAUUAAGCUUCUCAACUCUUGCAACAUAAAACAAUUAUUUUGACACAAAAAACCAAUAUGUGAGUUAAUCAUUUUUAAGGAAAUAAAAUGCAUAUUUAAUUAGAAACCUAUUUUUAGUAAAAGCGACCUUCUAAAUGUUUAUUCAAAUUGAAAAUUAUAUAAAUCUCUAUAUUUUAAGUAUUAUAUAAUCUAUAUGAAAAAUGGCAAAAGUGCCUUGAAAAAUAUAUUUUUUUUUAAAAGUAUUUUGAUUUACGAAAAUAAUUAUUUCAAAUUGUUUGAAAUUUGAGAAGCUUGAAAAUUAACUAAAUUGUGGAGGGCCAAAAUUGGGUGUCAACACGAAGCAUGUCGAUUUGGAUUGUCACUUCGUCCGACAACAAUUUCUGAAUAGACUGAUUUCUCUCAAUUUUGUCCCCUCCUCUUCUCAAUUAGCAGAUAUAUUUACCAAUUCAUUGUCCGGCCCUCUUCACAAUUCGAUUCUUUCCAAGUUGGGGGUUUCUUCACUCCCCUCCAACUUGAAGUGGGGUGUUGAGAAUGAAUCCUUACCAUCUGUAAUUUUUGGUCAAAGGACAGAGGAACAUGACAUAUAUGUUCACGAGAAUGAAUAAAGGGAGGAUUUUGUGUUUUUUUUGGUAAAGAUUGAGGUUUGGGCCUAAUAAGACUCAGUUGAGUAUUGAGAGGAACUUGAAGUGCAGCAAGUUUGGCCCAAAUAUUCUAUUCAGCCCAAACUCAACUUAUACCAAUUUCCAUUCUAUAAGUUUCUAAUUUUUGUAUAUAUCACAGUACAUAGUUUGUUAUGCAAUUUGAACCUUAUCUAUUACUAGGAUAGACAACCAUACAAUAAUAUUAUUUUAUGUAUUUGUCUUGUAGCCAAAUAAUCUUGUAUAAAUCUAUUAAAUUGGAAUGAGAAAGGCAUCAGAAAAUUUCCACAUUUCAAGAUGUCUUUCUUUCUUAAUUCUACACAUUAAUGUAAUAAAGGCGUACAAUUUUAACCCUUUCAUCGUGAUUAUUUUCUUAAGAUUUCAAGUUAUAAAUGUAAUUUUACAAAUUUAGGAAUUUGAUUUUUUAAAAAAUUUUUUUUUGCUUGAUCAUAUUCUCAUUACCAUGAAAAUAAUAAUUAUUGUUGCAUUAAUGGUAUUUUGAAAUCUUCUAUUUUCCUUUUUGAUAUGUUUCCUGAUUAUACCCUUCUUUGUGUGUAUUCUUUUUCCCAUAUUAUUUUUCACUUAAAUAAUCUUUUCUCGUGUAAUCUCAUUCUUCUUUGUAUUUAUCUUAAUAUUAUUUUUUGAUUAUCCUUUAUUUCUACUCUUAUUUGCAUUUCUUUACCCUUGUUUCAUUAUUCAAUUCCUCUAAAAAUCAAUAACUAUUACUUCUUUCCUAAAAUAAUCAAAAUAUUGUAUCAAUAAUUGCACCUACAAAUUUACUCUGUUAUUUUCAAAGAUUAUUCUUAAUAAGCAUAUAAGCAUUUUUAUUGUUGUUAUUAAAAAAAUGACUAACUCACUUUAGAAUCGAAACUCAAACAAAGCGAGGUUAUGAAGGAGUCUAUAAAGGUAACCUUAAUGGUCGUCUUAUUGCGUAAAGGGUUAUAAAUUCAAGUAAGUAAGCAAAUAAAAAAGAAUUUAUCGACGAAGCAAAACUUUCCAUGUUAACAUAUAUAGUUGCCACAUUGAGAUUUUAUUUAAAGGCCGAGAAAGAGUUCUUGUUUUCGAAUUUAUGCCCAAUGGAAGUCAACAAACAACUAAAAAAUAUAGAAAUAACCCCCCAAAAGGAUGGGCCAAAAUUAACAAAAAAGGACAAAACAUGGACAUUUUUUCAAACAAGAAUAGAAGUUCCCAAGAAAGACAAAGAGCCAGUUUCUCUCAAGAUAGACUAGGAAACAAUAUGUUAGCAAGAAUAAUGAAUUCGCCCAGACCUAGUAGCAGUCAACAAUUAGAUGAAAUAAUAGACGUAGAUAAAGAUAUAGAAAUUUUUCAACAAAAUAGAUUAAGACUACUAAAUCCAUAAGUACUGUAUAAUGCAUGAAUAUUUUCUUCAACAACACACUUAUACAAACAUUAUAGAGAAGAACAGUUAUGUGUAUCAGAAAACGAUAGUGAAAAUAUAAGUUUAAUUAGUACAGAAUCUAUGAAAGAAAUACAAAAAGACGAAUGAAUCUCAUGCAUAUGGGAUUGGUAGUAAUUGGACUUAAAGGUUUAACUAGAAAAAACCUAGGCACUAAAGUACUAAUUACAUUAUACGAUGAUAGAUGGUCAGAAUAAAAAAGAUCCAUAAUAGGAUUAACAGAAGUAGACAUGACUAACAAUGGAGGAAUCUUUUACUGUAGCCCAGACUUCAUGAUAAAUUCAAAUGAAUUUGGAAAAUACAUAAAAAUAGGAAUUCAAACUAAAGGUUACGAAGAAAUGAACUGUGGAAAUAAUUUAUUAAUAUGCGUCGGUUUCAUAGGUAAAUUAGCCUCUAACAAUAGUUCCAAGUUUAAAAUUAAAAUAGACGAUACAGUAGGAUUGAUGGGAAACAAAGGGAUAAAAUUAAUGAAACCUUUAAAAAUAGACUCAGAAGAAUAUGCAGGUAGGGAAUGGAAUUUAGAAAAAUUCUGUAAAAAAGAAGUUUUAAGACCAAAUGACCACCUUACAUAUACCAAUAAUAAAGGACAAAACCUCAAUCAGAUUUACAGACUAUAAAUAUACCGACCAAAAAGAAAUAGAUGAAGAUUUAGAUGAUAAUGAGACAACCAUUAAUAUGGAAGGAAUGAAUAUUCAAAGCAUAAAAGAAGACGACUAUGAAGUAGACAUAGCAAUAGCAAGGGAAAAAGAAUUACACCAAUUAAAUAAAAUAACAUUCUUUAAAUGUAAAGGGUGUAAACUAGGAGGAAUCGAAUUCUCUAUAGUAGAACAAUACUUUAAAGAAUGCAAAUUUAGAACAGAUAAUUAUGGGUAUAGACAGGAUAGUAGGAGGAAUCAAAUUCUCUAUAGUAGAACAAUACUUUAAAGAAUGCAAAUUUAGAACAGAUAAUUAUGGGUAUAGACAGGAAGAAGAUAUCCAAGAAGAAAGCGAUGACGAGACAACACGCAGUUUAAAAGAAUUUAUGGAAAUCGCUUCUUCAAGUUCAAGUCCCUUCCAAAAGACAACCCCAAUACCACCAGUAGAAUAUACUAUAGACGACACCAUGUAUUUAGAUAAGACCCGGCCACAAAACCAGAAAUGGUUAGACCUAUAGGAAUAAGAAUGCCAAUAGAAGCCCCUAUCAAACUCCAAGACGGAGGAGAUAGAGGAAAAAUACUAAAUAUAGCGGCUCAUGAUCCUCAAUUAUGGAACUCAGUAAUAGAUGUAUGGAAAGGAAUAGUAAUAGCAGACUAUAUACACCAUUAUAUUGAAACAGAUGCAGAAACUAUGUAUAGAUGCAUAGAGUUCUAGGAAAAUUAAUCAAAGGAGUAUGGGAAGCAUAUAAAGUAGCUUGCCCUCAAGAAUUCCAAGAACUAGUAAAUAUGGGACAAAACCCGUAUAAUUUUACUAAUAAAAUACACAACCUAAUAGCAGGGGAAGACCCAAAUAGAGGAUUAGUAGUGUUACAAAAGAAUGCACUAAUAAAAUUAGAACAACUUAGUAUAACAAAUUGGAGCCAUAUAAAGAACUUUUUAAAAGACUAUUUUUACUAUUGCGUUAUAAGCGGUAAUGCGUUUGACCAAAGCUUGAGAAAGAAGCUUUUAAACAAACUCCCUGGAGCCUUAGAAAGAGAAAUAGAAUAAAGAUGGAAUAAAAGAGAGGGAGUAAUGCAAAAUCUAAAUGCUAACUGGUCUAUAGGACAAAAUACAACAUGCUAUGGAAAUAUUACAAGAAAAAUGUACAAAUAUACAAAUACAAAAACAAUUAAAACAAAAUGAGACAGGUUUUUGUAAAAAUAUUUAUACAACACAAAGCUAUGAUCAAAGUACACCAAAAAGAAAAUACAGAAGAACGUAUCAAAAUAACCAAGAAUACAAACCAAGGAAAAAGUAUUAUUUAAGAAAAUCUACUGCAAGAAAGCCUUACCUAAAUAAAGAUAAACACAUAAGAAAACAUAAUAAUAACAUAAUUUACAAAAAUAGACUAUCUUGUUUUACAUGCGGAAGUGAAGAACAUCUAGCAAACACUUGUCCAUGUAGAAAUAACAGUAGAACACGAAAUGCUCAGGUCAUAGAAGACUUCCAAGAAACCUUGAUAACUGUAGAUGAUAUGUCAGAUAAUGAAAGCAUAUAUUCGGUAAUAAGCAUAGAUGCCAUAGAAGGAAGAAAACAAGACUCAUCUGAUUCAGAAGAAGAAACUUUAAUAAAUGAAAUAGGAUUAGAAAAGCUAGAUCUAAAUAUAAAGGAUUAUACUUUUGUUAAUAUACAAUGUGAUCAUCAAUUCUGUAAAAGAAAAGGAUUAGACAGUCAACGAUGCUUUAACUGCACAGGAUACCCAAGUAAAGACAGAAGAGCCAAAUACAUGAAUUGUUAUAUAGAAGGUUGCAUUAGAUGCAUUGAUAAAAAUUUUAAUAUUAAAAUAAUAGAAACAAUUGUAAGUACAAAAGAACAGACAUUAAAAUCUUUAGAAGAACGAAUUGAUCGUUUAGAAGAAUGUUUUAACUUUUGAACUAAUUUUAUAUCUUCAAUAUUAAAAGUCUUUUGUCCAUGUGUUCCUGUUUUUGAGUAUAGUGAUCCUGUCACCUUUCCUAAGUCUUUUAUGAAAUUCCUCGCAUAAUUUAAUAUUCCAUUUUGUAAUUCUUUAGUGUUGUCUAAUUUAUCUGGCAUAACUAAAACUUUUUUGGCUAUAUGUGGUUGUAAUUUUAUUCUUUCGUUUCCAAUUUCUACUCCUAAGAAUUUUAUGAGGCUUUUGCAUAAUUCCAUCUUUUUCUUACUAAUAAUUAUUCCAUUAUCUACAAAUAGUUUAAAUACACUUUUUUAUUUUUUUUUAUUUUAAUGUUAUUCAUUUCUCUUUAUUUUAUUCUGUUCAUCUCUUUUCCUUAACCUAUGUUCUUAGCACCUGCUUCUUUAACCACACCCUGGGAUACACAGUCCUUUCGGUUCCCUGUCCAUAACGGACUUUCAACUUCCCUAGGACUUUACAAGUUAAUCCAUUGGGGUUACUAAGAAGGUUAGGAACAAACCAUUUACUAAGAAUAAUUUAAACAAUAUAUGAACAACAUAGUAAUAAACAUCAUAUUAUACAGUCAUAAUAACAGUACAUAACAAUACAUAUUAUGGGGGGAACUGCGUCAAUAGAAUCAACGAAUGAAGACGACAAAACAUGAACAUUUUCCAAACAAGAAUAGAAGUUCCCAAGAAAGAUGAAGGGCCAGUUUCUCUCAAGAUAGACUAAUUUUCUACCCCCCAUCUAAUCUAAGUUUCAGGGUAAAACCAGAAACAAAGAUAAAUAAACUUCAAAGAUGCCUGAUAGACAACCUAUGGAUAGCAUACAACAAAAGUCCAAGAGACAAUAGUUAUUUCAUUUCAGUGUUAAAUUCAUUGAGCCAUUGUUGUGCCGUAAUUUAACUAUUUCUAGAAAAAUCACCUUUUUUGAAAUGUUCUAAGUAUAAAACAAUUUUUGAAAAAUACUUAGAAGAGUCGCCACUUAAUUUUUUAAAGAAAUUAAGAAAACUUAUAAUUUUCAAAAGAUUUAAACAGAAAAAAUCAAUUUGAAAAUAUACAAAGAAGGUUCGGGGUUACAAUUUACACUUUGAGAAGGGUUUAAGCAUUCAAAGUGUCCGCUAACAUGCGGUUGACCUGCGACUUGACUAAAAUAUAUUUGACUAUUUUUUAGAAAAAAUAAAAAUAAAAAAUGAUUUAACAUAAAAAUUAAUAACUUAUAAUAUAUUUGAUUAAGAAAAUAAUUAAAUAAGUGACGCAUAUGAUUUUUAUUCUUUAGAGGAAGGGAUCCAAAAUGAUACAUUUGACUCGAAACACAAGUGAUUGGAAUAUUAAUAAAACUAGAUUAAUUAAAAUUUAUUUAAUUCAUUUUGAAGUAAUAAUUUAAACCAAUUGAAUAAAUUAAAUCAUGAAUAUCAUUUUGAAUUAAUUGAACAACCCUUUUUGAGAAAAUGACUUAAGUAAGUAUUUUAUUUUAAUUAAUUGAAAAGGCAUUUUAAAGUUUAUUUGGGAGAAACCUUAAUUUGAAACAAUUUUAAACGAACUAAAAGUGUGUUAAGUGAAAAAUAAAUGAAUUAAAUAACGCUUCUUUUUAAGAACAAAGAGUUUUAAUUCAAUUAAUGAUAUAAGAUCUUAUUAGUAAAAUAAAUGAACACAAAAAAUAUUAAAAGUAAACCAACACAACAAAAAUAACUCGUCUUUUGGGGAAUCUAAUUAAGUUAAUUAAGAAUUAUAAAGUCAGAAUUAAACAACAAUAAAUAAUCGCAAUUAAAUAAUUAAAGAGUAAGGGAGAAAUUGAAUUUGGGCCUCUUUUUGGGCCAAAUUCGCGGAAAUUUUGGGGUUUAAUCCUAAACCCGUUUUUGGUAUACAGCUGAUGUAUAUCAGUGUAUAUCAGCGUGUAUAUCAGCCCUUUUCAUGUAUUUCUUGCUUCGAAACACAUGUAUUUCCUCUAAGCCCUGUAUUUUCAUGUAUAUAAUUUAUGUAUAGCAGUGUAUACAACAUGUAUACAGCUCUUUUUUGGAGCUUUUGGAGGCUUGGUCAUCAAUUUCCAGCAUGUAUAUUGCCUCCAUUUCACUCGAUCAAGAUGGUGCUGACUCGAAGAAUCUCAACUCGGAAAAAUGCAAAAAAAAGGGAGUCCAAAAGGACUCAGGUUGAUGCACAUACAAAGAAAAUGGAAGCAACAUUAGCCAAGUCGCAUGAGAAUAUUCUAGCAACGUUUCAAAGAGUAAACUAUACCAGAAAGCAUUUUACUAAAUGUUUUCAGACAUAUCUUAACAAGAGUUUCUUAACACAAGGACAUGUAAAGUAUAUCUAGUGUAUACAGCCCAUUUUCCUGCUUUCCGAAACUUGUAGCAGCUCCAUUUUGAUCUGUUCUUUGAUUUUUCACUGCUGGCUGACUCGACAAGAACAAGAUUUGAGCCUUCUUGGCUCGAAAAUGCAAGGUACAGGGGAAAUGGAGGAGUCCAGUGGACUCAGGGGCAGAUUCAUGCAAAUAAAGAGAAGGAACAUACAGUAAGGAGCAGCAUAUAAUAAUAUAUGACUACAAACUAACAUUUAAACAAUUUAGUUAGUAGAUAAGCUAUUGCAGAUUUUAAUUGACAUACAUAAGACAAGAAGAGCCAACAUAAAUAUGAUCACAACAACACACAGAUUUAAUAAAACAAAUAGGAAGAGAUUUAUGAGUUACGGAAGAGGACACCAAUGAGUAUUUGAUUUUAGAAAGAUGGCUUAUUACCCAUAAUCUAGUCAUAAAUAUUAACAACAAAAACUAAAAUACCACAUAGAAGCAAGAAACGAUUAAAUAUCAAAAAUAAAGAACCACUAACAAUAAAAUUUGCAUGACUCUUACACAUGGAUAAGGAAGACACACUAACACUAACAACUUCAACAAAAGAGUAGGGGAAGAAAUGAACAUGUAUGCCAUUUUCUCAAGGAUAUGAAUCCAAACAGUAAGUUUAUCAUACAACUAAAGGAUAGAGAAUAUUAUUCAAAUUGGGCUAAACAUAAAAAUCACAGAGGCAAACAACUUAGAGCUGAACUAAAAGGCAAUGUUAAAAGAGUCAACACAAAUUAAAACUUUCCAAGAUAUCAGAUUGUAAGACCAAGGUUAGCGGCAUAAACGAGUCUGGCUCUCUCCAAGCGGAUUCGAAACUAGAAUGACUCAAAUUCUUAUAGCUUAACAUGUAAUCCAAACAAAAGACCCAAACAAGGACGUAAGACUAGCUUUAAGAGACUAGAUAGCAACCUCAAACUUGAACAAGACAAGAGAACAUCCAUCACACUCUUCCAUGUUCUUGACCAUAAAUAAAUAAAUAACGACAAAUAAGUCUUAAUCAGGAAACACGAGCAGGCAGUGGAGAAACAUACGAUUAAGGUCGUCAAGGUCUUUGAGACAAGAAACGACAAGCACACACAUAACUCGAUAUCUCAAUAUGAACAAGACUUAACAUAAGGCAAAAGAAGGGAAUAAAAUGAACAAAAAUCUUAAAUUUUGAUCCAUAUCUAUAAUGCCACACCCUGUUAUCAGCAAGAAGUAGCAUUUAGCUAAGUUCAAAUGUCAGAACGACAAAUUCAUACUAUCAUCGUGACUCAACUCCAAAACCAUUUAAACCAGACCGUAUGGAGCAUUUAAGAAAAUAAAAAAAAAAAUAAACACCAACGAUUGCUAUAUAAUCACGGAUCAAGGAAAAAACUUCAACACGCCAGAAUAUUAUCUUGGAAAUAAAAGAGGAAAAGAGCAUCAUAAAGGACAUCGAAUUUUACCUAUUCGGGGCAGCAAACGGAGACGAUGAGCAAAGGAGGGUAGCGAUUCUUCCGCCACGAGAUCUCGAUACGAACAGCAAGCCAAGAACUUUAGGCAAAAUUAAAGCGACUACCUUUUCGGAAUUUAGAACAAAGACAAGCUAAAAUAUAAAAUUUCAAAUGUAAAAUUACUAUUGCCAAAGAACUCCCCCCAACCCUGUCCUCAACAGUGGUUAAAACAGAUGAAUAUAUAGAUGGAAAUUUUGUGGAAAUCGCGUGAAACUUCAAAUUUUAAAAUUCGAAUUCAUUUUGCCCCUUUUCAAGACAACAGUAGAAAGCUUUGAAAAAAUCCCUUAAAACGGGGGAAAGGGGACGUGAAGGUGAUGGGUUUGCAGGGUAUGGGUUCUUGCAAGGUAGGAGACGCAAUUUCCGGGUUGAGCGUGAAGAAGACGAAGGCAAGUACGGGCAGUGGGGUCGUCUGGUUCGGGGUCUGCUGAUGGGAUUUGGUUUCUGGGUUUUGCAAUCAAAAAAGGAGAAGAAAACGUACAGUGCAGGGGGUGGGGUCAUUUGGUGUUGAUGUUGUAUUGUUUGUAUUGUAUGUUUUGUGGGCUGUUAUUGUGGGAAUGGGCUGCUGAUAAGGUUGGGAAUAAGGUGGGCUGAUGAGUGUAUUGUUGUUGGGCUGGGAAUUAUGAAGUAAGGCCCAAACUUGGUCUUUUGAUGGGUUGAAGAUGUUGGCAAAAGAAUGAAGUUCAAAAUUUAGCCAAAUUGAAUUUAAUUGGUGAAUUUGAUUAAAAUUUAAACAAGAUGAGUUAAUAUAAAUUAAUUAAUGAGCUUCUUAAUCUUAAACGAAAAAAAUAAAAAAACUUAACUAUAAACUAAUUAAUUCAAUUACAAAACUAAUUAACUCGAAAUUAUAGCUAUAACUUAAAGUAAAUUAAUAAAAUAUUUAACUAAAGUGUAAAAUCUUUUGUGAUGAUUUUCAAAUAUUUAUAAAAUAGCGUGAUUGCAAAAAUAUACAUAUUUAUUUAAAAAGUGAUAACAUUACUUUAAAAAUAACUUGAAAGUAUUUUGAAUUUCAUAAAACUCAUUAAUUCAAAAUUAUAACCAUCCCUAAUAUUUAAAAUAUAAUAAUCCUUUUUGAGACGAUUUUCGAAUAAUCAUAAAAUAUACUAAUUAUAUACAUAAUUAUGUAAAACAUAUAUAUCAUCUAAAAUUUAUGAAAAGUGACAAAACUAUUUAAAAAUCUUGCAAACUAUAUUGUUAUUAUUAUUAUUAUUAUUAUUAUUAUUAUUAUUUAUUUUUAUUAUUAUUAUUAUAUUUUUAGAAAUUUUAUAAAACUAAUUAUUUUAAAUCGUUUGAAAAUUGGAGAAGCUCGAAAUGAUUAAUUUAUAUUGUGGAGGGUCAAAAUUGGGUGUCAACAGCCAUUACUUUACAGACAAAAAUGAAGAUAAAAAAUACGUUCUUCUGUAUUUUCUUUUUGGUGCACGUUGAUCAUAGCUUUGUGUUG